GCCAGACAUCAAUACUGUAAACCAACGACAGGAGCCUGAGUCAGGGAACAGAGGGUGGUCCUAAGAGCUGAGCAUGGGCCCAGCAAGCAACUAGCAAAAAAAAAAAAAAAACAAAAAAAAAAACAACUAGGGGCCUCAGCCCUACAACCUCAGGGAACUGAAUUCUCACAACAAACUGAAUGAACUUAAAAGAGGACCUCAAGUUCCAGAUGAGAAUGCAGGCCCGGGGGCCCCUCAACUUCAGGCUCGUGAGACCCUGAGCAGAACCUGGGGCCUGGAUUCCUGGACCAUGGAAAAUAAACUCUUGUAGCCACUGCACCUCUAGCUGUAACUCAGCCUGAGCCUGGCACAAGGAGCAGCUGUUGGAGCAAAGAAGCCAUCGCCAGUCCUCCGCGGAAGCUUCCCUGUAGCUUCCAGCUUCCAGUGGCGGGGAGCUCACCGCCUUGCAAGCCGCCCUCCCCCAGCUCCCGCGUAUGCUGAAUCCAGUCUGGAGCCCUCAAAGCAAGCCCAGAGCUGUCUCCCGUAGAGGGAACGCCUUUCCUGGAGAGCAGAGAGACUGCUGAGCCUGCCCUUAGAAUGGCCCAAUCCCAGAGGUCAAGUCCUGGGGCUCCCUGGAGCCUUCUGUUUCCUUUCCUG
rnacentral:lncRNA from 1 species